rnacentral:pre_miRNA from 1 species
CUUUCUGUGCAGGUUGGGAGAGGUAGCAAUGCUCUGUAUCCGUGUGGUAUUGCACUUGUCCCGGCCUGUUGAGGAAAU